GAUGAAGAACGCAGCGAAAUGCGAUAAGUAAUGUGAAUUGCAGAAUUCAGUGAAUCAUCGAAUCUUUGAACGCACAUUGCGCCCGCCAGUAUUCUGGCGGGCAUGCCUGUUCGAGCGUCAUUUCAACCAUCAAGCCCCAGGCUUGUGUUGGGGACCUGCGGCUGCCGCAGGCCCUGAAAACCAGUGGCGGGCUCGCUGUCACACCGGGCGUAGUAGAUUUUAUCUCGCUCAGGGCGUGCUGCGGGUUCCGGCCGUUAAAAAGCCUUUUUUACCCAAGGUUGACCUCGGAUCAGGUAGGAAUACCCGCUGAACUUAAGCAUAUCAAUAAGCGAGGA
rnacentral:misc_RNA from 1 species